UUCGGAUCGCAGGCUGCAACCCGCCUGCGUGAAGUCGGAAUCGCUAGUAAUCGCGGAUCAGCAUGCCGCGGUGAAUACGUUCCCGGGCCUUGUACACACCGCCCGUCACACCAUGAGAGUCGGGAACACCCGAAGUCCGUAGCCUAACUUUAACGAGGGGCGCGGCCGAAGGUGGGUUCGAUAAUUGGGGUGAAGUCGUAACAAGGUAUC
rnacentral:rRNA from 1 species